GAUCAUGGCUCAGAUUGAACGCUGGCGGCAGGCUUAACACAUGCAAGUCGAGCGGGGAAGGUUGCUUCGGUAACUAACCUAGCGGCGGACGGGUGAGUAAUGCUUAGGAAUCUGCCUAUUAGUGGGGGACAACGUUCCGAAAGGAACGCUAAUACCGCAUACGCCCUACGGGGGAAAGCAGGGGAUCUUCGGACCUUGCGCUAAUAGAUGAGCCUAAGUCGGAUUAGCUAGUUGGUGGGGUAAAGGCCUACCAAGGCGACGA
rnacentral:rRNA from 1 species